CCUACGGGUGGCAGCAGUGAGGAAUAUUGGUCAAUGGACGAGAGUCUGAACCAGCCAAGUAGCGUGAAGGAUGACUGCCCUAUGGGUUGUAAACUUCUUUUAUAUGGGAAUAAAACGUUCCACGUGUGGGAUUUUGUAUGUACCAUAUGAAUAAGGAUCGGCUAACUCCGUGCCAGCAGCCGCGGUAAUACGGAGGAUCCGAGCGUUAUCCGGAUUUAUUGGGUUUAAAGGGAGCGUAGGUGGAUUGUUAAGUCAGUUGUGAAAGUUUGCGGCUCAACCGUAAAAUUGUAGUUGAUACUGGCAGUCUUGAGUACAGUAGAGGUGGGCGGAAUUCGUGGUGUAGCGGUGAAAUGCUUAGAUAUCACGAAGAACUCCGAUUGCGAAGGCAGUUCACUGGACUGCAACUGACACUGAGGCUCGAAAGUGUGGGUAUCAAACAGGAUUAGAUACCCGAGUAGUC
rnacentral:rRNA from 1 species